CCCCACCGGCAAUCAGCAGCUCCCCCUCCCCUGAGGACUUAGAGCCCCAUUUCCUGCCACAAGCCCACACAAAGCUCCUAUCUCAACGGCUCUGGGUUGGUAGGCUAGCAAACUGGCUUCCCCUGAAACCCUGGGGGUGGGGACCCGAGGCUCCUAGUGAGAGUGAGACUGCUGUUGCGGGAGGAAUCAAGACACUGAAAGAGGCAGGUACCGGUACAGACCAGGAAUCGGCUCUUCCUGGCGGUGCCCUCACGUAUCUCCCCCUAGCCCUGCAGAGAAAGAGUGCAAGUUGCUGGCUGGCUCAGCAUCUCUUUUUAGAGUUCCGCGUACUUGCUCGUUAUGCCAAGGACACAGAGGAGGGAGGUGAAGACAGACUGGUGUUCAUGCUCGCUCACCCCCUUUUCGUAGAGAGCAUGUCUGCAGCAGCACUCACCUUGGAGCGCACUGGCUGUGUGUGCCGUCUGGAGAGCUCCUGGGCGGUGUAUCCUCUCAGAUUUGUUGGUUUAAGCCCCCAAUAUCCCACCAUGGGAACGUGGGCUUUUGAAGUCCGUCUUUCCAAGGGGACAAGAUAGGGCCCGCGUUACUCAGAGGUUAGUAACCCUGAUGUUCCGUUCCGGGAUGAGCCCAGAAUCAACAGAGCCAAGGACCACAACAGAAGAAGCCACGAAACUGUGAAUCAAAAUAAACCUUUCUUCAAGGUG